rnacentral:rRNA from 1 species
UACGAAGGGUGCAAGCGUUAAUCGGAAUUACUGGGCGUAAAGCGUGCGUAGGCGGUUGGCUAAGUCAGAUGUGAAAGCCCUGGGCUCAACCUGGGAAUGGCAUUUGAAACUGGCCGGCUAGAGUGUGAUAGAGGAUGGCGGAAUUCCCGGUGUAGCGGUGAAAUGUGUAGAGAUCGGGAGGAACACCGGUGGCGAAGGCGGGACUCUGGGCCUACCCUGACGCUGAGGCGCGAAGGCGUGGGGAGCAAACGGG